ACAUAGGUUGGAGGAAUGGUCGUUGAGAGGAUCCUGGCACAGAUUACCAUGGCCUGCCAUGAUGGACCAAGCAAGCUUGCAAGGGUCUUGCUUCACCGUGUGUUCACAGAGGACCUCAUGGGCCACUGACUCUUUUGGAAAUAACUCCAAGGGGCAAGAAGAGGCUCUUGAACACAUCAGGGUCAACGCUGUUGGUCAGUUGGCCGCUUGGAUCCGUCUUCGUCUUCCCUGUCCGUGGUGUGUACCGGAGUGCGGCUGCACACUCGUCCUCCUCUACAACAUCGUCCGCAGUGGCUGUCUGAGAGGACUAUAAGGCGCAUCUGGAACUUCGUGAGGUGAAAGCGCGACGUCAUCGUGGAAAAAGAAGAAAAAGGCGGUCAUUGACGUACAACCCCUCAUUUCGGCAGCAGUGACAGCACUGGGAGGCACCAGCUUGAGCGUCUGCUUGCUUUCUCGUGCAGGCUUCACCUAUCACAAGUUUCCUGGCACCAACAUGCCCUAAGAAAAGAAUACCUGGGCCUUGCUUCUCGCAUGGGACCUAAAAUCUCCUGAAGAGCCCAAGUUGGACAGCACAAACCAAAACAAGCACCCUCUUGGAGCCUCUCGUGAGCCCUGGUCGAUGUCUGGCAAUGCUCGUCGGUUGCACACGUAUUUGAUGUACAUUGGGUGUCCUAGCAGCAGCAGUUGUCAAUUGAAGGCCAGCAUAAGCCCAGCUGCAUUGUGUCCGUUCUGCACACGGUCUAGCUCAUACGCAAGGCCUCGCAUGAUAUCAAGUUUGACCUCCAAAGCACAGUGGAUGAGGGUGUCCUUGAGGAGCUCGAAUGCUGCCAGGUAGCCAUUGGUGCUCUGCUCGUGGAUCAGUACUGCGACAGGGACAGCACCAGCGAGACAGUGCAUUGGUCGCGUCACAAGAAGCUGUGGAAUCCACAAACACGCUGUCCCUUGCAAGCUCAAGCUCCUGGGCUCGGCGCAUAAUAAGGGUCACCACAAGGACAGCCCAGCAGGUACUGCUGCCACCACGGCUCACUGUGACAUGAGUGCCUGGAAUGUUGUGUGAAAAGAAAAGGGAUCUUUCAGAACACCUUAACUGCAUGUGCUUCACCAAUCUGUAUAGCAAGAAACUUUUCUUCAAAAUACUCUUUGUUUAUGUCCAAAGAAGAAAAAUGGAGCCCAAAAUUACCACAGCAAAUCUGCCAACAUUGAGACUUUACAUCAUGGAGCCAAGGAAAAUUUAGUGAAGGAUACAAUUCUUUCUUAAUGAAUAAAAAUGUAGUCUUCACUUAUUCAUAAACAGAUCAACUCUGUUCUAUGAGGUAAACCACAAACAGUCACACCAUGCUAGUGGCAAAAUUUUUUUCCACAGAUAACAGACAUGUUCACGACGCUUUGUGUUAGAGCUAACAAUGCUGGACACUCCUUAACCAUUUGGGUACCAGGUGUUAUUACGAAAGGAAAAAUUUCACUGCUGUUUAAGUGAAGCAUUGCAAAUCUUUAAAUUGAAAUGCUAUUUGCUGCCAAUAUGUUGCUGAACAUAAUAUAAGCUUUUUAAUUUACAAGUUCAAACAAAAUUUCAGACAUAACACCAAUGAAUCUUUUUGAAUAAGGAUAGCUGGUGUUGCUCAGGCAAGAAGGCCUCUUAGUCACCCUUGAAUAAACCUUGUAAUCAACAUUGAGGUCCUCUGAAUAAGGGUUUACAAGAAGUUCUUCAAUUUCUGCAUCGUUUGAAAUACCUGCAGGCUUCUUGUGCCACUGUGCCAUGUUGGAAAAUGGGAGAUGAGAGCAACACUAGUAGUAUAAGUAGUUAGCAGUCAGGAAGCUUUGUUGCUCCAUGUGUCUUAUAAAAAAGAAGUUACAGGCCUGUGCAGCACAUGCAGCAGUCACAGCGUUAGCUGGAGGAGCAGCUCAAGCGUAGCUCCAAUUUCGGCCCCACGCACAACAGGGUCAUCACGGUGAAGUCUCUUUGCCUCGUUUUCCCAAGAACGAUCUCAACUGUCCGCCAGGUGUUGACGGUGAGCUGCGGCUUGUACUGCUCGCUGCACAACCUUUGCCGAGUCCGAUGAUGACUGGUGGCAGCCACGCACGUAGCUCUACGAUUCGCUUCUCCAGCAGUGGUUCGUAGCUUGUGAGGAGGUGCCGUAACGUGUA